rnacentral:rRNA from 1 species
CCUCUUCCCAUUUCGAACAGAGAAGUUAAGCCCGCUAGCGCAGAUGGUACUGCUAACCAGUGGGAGAGUAUGUCGCCGCCUUUC